rnacentral:piRNA from 1 species
UGACAUUGUGCAAACCCUGAACGGCAGGAGGA